GGAUGGGCAGGAUUGGGCCGCUGGUGUAUUUUGUGUGCGUUUGCGCGCGUCCUUCAGUCCGUUCUAAUUCUCAUUGAAAUGCCUGCUGUCCUCUGCGCCUUCAUUGGUAACACUCCUGGCCAAAGAAAGACCAAGAAACUUUUUUUAAUACCGCGAGGGAGAAGCUUUGUGUUGGUUUAGACACCCCAGGGGGGCCGGACUAGAGUAUCCCGGGUCAUCUUCGCACAGAAGCAGGCUGCUGCUGCACAUCUCCUAGAUGUCUAAGGCUUUGAUUUUCUCAGCAGUAUUUACUGAUCAGCUGUCCUGCAGCGGAGGGAAAUAUCCUGCUACAAGUUUGAUUUUUUGUUUGGGUUCAUGAUUUGAUUAUUAAUGAUUGUCUGAAGUAUUAAGUGCACUGAAUCUUUUAGGACCAGUUGGACUGUCUGCCCCGCGUGUGAGAUACAGAUAUUUUAAUGCACUUGCUGGAGCAGGAACCGAUUGCUUUUUAGGGAAGUCAAUCUUUUGCAAAGCAUGCAGGCGCAGGGAGAAUAUUUCUGCACAGAAGAGGCCAAAAUGUGACCGUCAAAUACCUUCCUAGUCUUUGUUGCUAAAGCACCUUUUGGCUGAUCAGCUGUGGGGGUGGGGGAAACCAACCCACCCCUCCUGCUAGGUAUAUAGUUUAUGGCAAGAUCUAUAUUUCCAGUCUAGAUUUUGGGGACAUAUUGGCUUAGGCUCUGAUUGAAAACCUCUUUAACCUGUUUUUAUACGCUGUUUCUGAAUAAGUUGAUCUGCACAGAGCCAUUCGCGGUAAGCUCAGAAAAGGAGAACUCGUCGUUACAUUUGCAGAUAGGAUCCAAAGCCUUUUGCAGAAAAGUAAGAAAACCAAACCACCGCCAUCUCCGAUGGAUGCCGUUCUGCAGCAGUCCCAGCCAGGGAAGAGGGAUGGAAAGAAGCAUGCCUAGUUCAGGGGGGAAAUAAAGAACAUUGCAACACGCAGGCUUUGAAUUUAACAUUGCUGAGAGGGUUCUGUUCUCUAGGCUAGAAUGUGACCUACAGCAUGGCAUGUAAGAACUGCCUAGAUGCAUCUGUGCCUGCAACGCACGGGCAAGAUGCAAACUUUCCACAGGCAUCAAUGGGGAAAGGAGAAAACAAACAGCAACUUGGCCCAGGGUCUGCAUAGAGACAGCGAGGGCUCAACAGAGGCAGGUUACGCCACCCCAGGCCUAAGGUGGGCUGAACUUUUCCUGCCUCUGAGGAAUUGCCUGGUCAGGAAGAGAUUAAUAUCAUUGUCUUCUACCUGCAAUGCUUUGAGUGGCUCUAGAUGAUUGGCUGGCUUGGCUGUAUAAUCUUUCACAAAGAUGAAAAUCUGGGGGAUCCAGAAGGGAAGGAGCUACCUUACUACCCACAUGGAUGCUAGAGCCCCCUGGCUGUCUCUUGCAGAAGGUGGCGUGAUCAGAAGAUGUGAAGUUGGAUGACCGCGAAAGCCACAAGAAUGGGCCAGUAUUUGCAAGAGAUUUCAUUUGAAGAUUUGUUUCGUUUCUCAAAUAAAAACAGUGACUAGCGUGUGGAAAGCGUUGAUGGAGGAGAGGAGAGGGUCAUUUUUUUUGUAAAUGGCAAAAAAAAAAAAGAAAAAAAAAAAAAGCCAGCGGCUUUCUCAGUAGUAAGACAAGUUGUGCAUCUCCCCUCUGAGCAGAAAGGACCAAGGUAAACAGCCAAAUCCAGUGUGCGGGGUUGCAUUCUGCCUCCUAAAAUUCCCCCUGUGGUUUCCACUGGAUACCGAUUAUUCUUCUCUUCCUGUUCUAAGUGGUUGUAUAGUUGUAAUGAACCCCACUUGGGCCACUGGUGGGAUUUCAACCCAUAAACUGUGUUAAUGCUUAAGAUCAAAGAUAAAAUCCAACAGCUGGAAGCCAGGGCAGGCUCAGUCUUUUAUGGUGCCUAGUCACUAGAGGGUGACAAAAGCCCCACAGCCUACAAGCACGGGUUACAUUGCUGUGUGCUGUUAAACAAAUGCUGUGUCCCACCCCAAAGGCAUGUAUAAUUUGUGUUAUCAGUUUGUAAUGUGUCCCUAUGGAAUGAAAGACACUAUUGGCCAUGUAAGUUCUUACUGUCCUGGCUGCUGCUGGGUGAGAUGUGUAUUAAAAAUAUGAAUUUGACUCAUA